rnacentral:rRNA from 1 species
AACGAACGCUGGCGGCAUGCCUACCACAUGCAAGUCGAACGAGACCUCCGGGUCUUGUGGCGUACGCGUGCGUAAAGCGUGGGAAUCUGCCCUUAGUUUCGGAAUAUCUCCUCGAAAGGGGUGCUAAUACCGGAUAAUGUCUUCGGACCAAAGAUUUAUGGCCCUUGGUUGGGGCCGGGUUGGUUUAGCUAGUUGGUAGGGUAUAAGCAUAGCACGGCUAGGAUCCAUAGCUGGUCUGUGAGGAUGAUUAGCCACAAUGGGACUGAGACACGGCCCAGACUCGUACGGAAGGGAGCAGUGGGGAGUAUUGGACGCUGGACGAAAGCCUGAUCCAGCAGUGCCGCGUGAGUGAGGAAGGCCUUAGGGAUGUAAAGCUCUUUUACCCGGGGUGAUAAUGACAGUACCGGGAGAAUAAGCUCCGGCUAACUCCGUG